UACGGGGGGGGCAAGCGUUGUUCGGAAUUACUGGGCGUAAAGGGUUUGUAGGUGGCCCGCUAAGUCACACGUGAAAUCCCUCAGCUUAACUGGGGAACUGCGUGUGAGACUGGCAGGCUCGAGGGCAGGAGAGGAACGCGGAAUUCCAGGUGUAGCGGUGAAAUGCGUAGAUAUCUGGAGGAACACCGGUGGCGAAGGCGGCGUUCUGGACUGUCUCUGACACUGAAGAACGAAGGCCAGGGGAGCAAACGGG
rnacentral:rRNA from 1 species